ACUGCCGCUGGAAGCAUCAAAGGUGUGUCUGCUGUGUCAUGUGUGUGUCAGGAGGUGGCAGAGAGGAGAGAGCCUAUGUCUACUGCUGCUCUUCUGAACUGUGAACAUCUGAAUAAUUAUUAGUAGCCUAACUUU